UCUCAUUUCAGAAAACACCAUUUUCUCCAUUUUCUGCCUCAAAUCUCAGGCAAUACUGCUCUUGAUCGGGAUCUCUCAAGCACCUAAGAGUCACACACUAAGACGCAGCACCUACCUCUUUCCUGACUAUUGCAAGCUUCUUUCUUUGUCUCUCCCUCUGCCGACUGCUCUAAAUUUCAAUUUCAGCUAUGCAAGUUAUUCCCUGUAUAAGCAGUCGGCUGUUCAUCGAAGCUUUGCAAUAGCAGAUAAUCUUGGUGAACUUUCAGCAAAGGCACAGGAUCACGAUAAGAAAAUUGAGGAACUGACAGCUGAGUUGGAAAUUGCUAGUCAGGAAUUUCGAAAUAGAGUUACUUGGCAUUUUGGCAAGCAAGGAACAGCAAGGUCAAGAGCCCCAUUUUCUGUUGGAUCUCCUUGAGCCGUGUCGAAAGAUGAGUUUAUCAGAUUUGCCGUGUCGCCGUGUUGCGCCGUGUCGUGUCGCCGUGUCCGUGCAACAUAGCUUUCCCACUGAGGAGACAAUGAAAGUAGCUGAAUCAUCGACUGGCCACCAUCUCUCUGAAGAAGAAGCCAAGAAAAUGGCUGAUGACGAAUAUUUUAAGAGAGUUACACGGGUGACAACGACUGCUGCUGGAGAGCCGUAUAACCGUAAGGGCGACUAUGUUUGCUUACUAAAUGCUGAAGAAGAGGAUAGUGAAGAAGAACAAGACGGUUGUUCCGUUUGUUACCAAGACCACAUGAAUAUGGAAUGCCCAUGGAUACUUGAUGAUAGUGUUCCGGCAGGCAAAACAGUUGGACGUCGGUACGACUUAGAAUGCAAGGGUUGUGGCAAGGUGGGAUCUGCAUGCUGUUCUUAGGGAGCACGCCCUGUUCUCAGGAGGUGUGGUUUUUGUUUUGAUUUUGGUCACUGGAUGGAGAACUGCCAGAACUAUGAGUAUAUGCCUGUUUCCGAGUUCCCAGAUUAUCCAUAGCAGAUUUGUCAUCUACUUCUCUUUUUGUAGUAAGUCGUUAUGGUACUUUGUAAGGAAUAGCUUAAUCUCAGUAGAUGAUGGUUCUAACCUUGUAACAAAGAGUUAAGUAAUGAUUAUACUUGAGUCUACUUUGAAGUGUUUGGACAUAA